GUGAAUGGAACACGCACACAAGGAGAGAGCAUUGCAGAUAGCGGGGGACUGCGUCAUAGCCUGCAGAUGUGGUGCAGCAAGAUGAGGGAUAGCUUUGCUGUGACCUGGGUGUCAAACUAUGUGCACCCGCCCGACAGAUUCAGGGUAAAUGGUCCGAUGUCGCACUACCCCGAGUUUGCAAAAACCUGGAAUUGUCCAGCAGGAAGUCCCAUGAACGCGGAAAAGAAGUGCGUCAUAUGGUGACGUCAGUUGGGACAUCAGCACGGAAAGCAACGAUAAAAAUCUGCAGAAAUUAUUAAAGCGUAAAAAGCGCAAUUAUAUAUUAUACGCGUGGUAAUGACGCAUAUUUCAGUUUUACCGGUGAUAUUGUAAGGCAGUUAAGCACACGAAUUGUGCACUUUUGGGUAGAAUUGUGAAACAUCGCACACGUGUACUGCAUGAGGUCCUGAUGAUAUUCCGAUAUUGUUGCUAUGGUUGUGACAUAAUGCUCAAUGUGCCCAGGUUUAUUUGUGUAUCCGCUGCACAAAUAUGACAAGACGUGCGUGCCAGGAACUAUAUAUAUAUAUAUAUAUAUACGUGUGACGCCUACAUAAUAAUAAUAAUAAUAAUAAUAAUAAUAAUAAUAAUAACUUAAACCGUGAUAAUGGCGAACAAUCCUCUCAUGUAGUAAAACUCACUUUCUGCGUGCGAGGAAUUGCGAGUGUAUAUAAAAGAAAAAUGUGAAAUAAUAUAUCAACUAGUUAGUGGACAGAGGGUCACGAAAACAACAUCAAUUUUAAUUGCAAAUGAUAAUUAAGUGCGCUUGAUGAACCGUCUUACCUGUUGGACAUCACCGUGGAUCUUGGCUGGGAUGUGAACGCACCGUAACGUAAAACAAUGGGUGGUUUUGCAAGCGAUCUGUUUCGAGAUGUAUUACCACAUCAAUAUUAUAAAAAAUAAAAAGUAAAAUUAUAAUCUCCCAGCACAUUUUGAUCACUCAAAUAUAGGAAAUAUAGGACUGUUUAUUCUCAAAUAUAGGAGUUUAUAGGACAACGCAUAUGCUUAUUAUAAGGCAUUCUGGCGUAUUUAAUAGUGUUGGCCGAUCUGUGUUCAACUUUUAUAGACAGGUAUAUACUUGGUAACAGGAAAACUGGUUUUCCCCUGCUAUAAUAGUCAGUCCAUAGUUAGCAAUGAGUUUACAUCUCAACUAGGCCACAGCUAUUUCUUUGCUUAUUUUUCGCAUAUGAAUCUAUGAGAAUCCGUUUUCUGUUUUUCCCGGGUCUUCUCCAUUGUAGAAAACCCCAAAUUUACUGCUGAUCACAGGACUCUCAGAGGGUAGCUUUAAAAAUGAGUGAGAUUAAUUUUGAAUAAGAAAAUCGCAGGCGCGAAGGGGAGGUAGGUGGAGGGAGGGGUGUCCCCCUCCCCCGGUAGAGAUUUUUUUAAUGGGGUGCUAUUUGAUGCACUCAGCAGCAAUCUGAACAUGAUAAUUGUUGCUUAUAUAGGCAUGAAAAAACAUACAAUGUACCAAAAACGGCUAGACCCACUCCACGUAACGAAGAAAAACUGGAUUCUUGCAAUUGCGUGAGAUUUUCGGGGACUAUCAGAAAUGUGCGUGAGAGCGUCAGAUUGUGCUGAAUUGAUGCGAGUCUCAUGCCAAAUGCGUGUGCACUGUGAUCAUACAAAUAAUCCAGUCACGUGGUUUUGCAACCAGUCAAAUAAUGAAAUAUAGGAAAUAUAGGAAUUAUAGGAGCUCUGGGAGCCAUGUAAUAU
rnacentral:lncRNA from 1 species